UCAGUAAUAUAUUAAUGUGUUUUUGUUUCAGUCGCUCCCGACUCCGGCUUUUACGUACCACACAACCCAAACAAUGGCUACGAACAAAUAAAUGCUGAGCCUGCCUUCGUUGACCAAGGAACUUUCCAGAACAGACCUUACCCAUACCCCAAGUAUUCCGACCCAGCUCUGCGCGGGGGAAAGUAAACGACAAAACGUAUACAUGAAACGAUUCUAAUAUGUAUCUAUGUAUUUUUAUACAAUUAAAUAAAUAUAGGUUUUGUUAAAAACC